rnacentral:rRNA from 1 species
GAUGAACGCUGGCGGCGUGCCUAAUACAUGCAAGUCGAGCGAACAGACGAGGAGCUUGCUCCUCUGACGUUAGCGGCGGACGGGUGAGUAACACGUGGAUAACAUACCUAUAAGACUGGGAUAACUUCGGGAAACCGGAGCUAAUACCGGAUAAUAUAUUGAACCGCAUGGUUCAAUAGUGAAAGACGGUUUUGCUGUCACUUAUAGAUGGAUCCGCGCCGCAUUAGCUAGUUGGUAAGGUAACGGCUUACCAAGGCAACGAUGCGUAGCCGACCUGAGAGGGUGAUCGGCCACACUGGAACUGAGACACGGUCCAGACUCCUACGGGAGGCAGCAGUAGGGAAUCUUCCGCAAUGGGCGAAAGCCUGACGGAGCAACGCCGCGUGAGUGAUGAAGGUCUUCGGAUCGUAAAACUCUGUUAUUAGGGAAGAACAAAUGUGUAAGUAACUAUGCACGUCUUGACGGUACCUAAUCAGAAAGCCACGGCUAACUACGUG